rnacentral:rRNA from 1 species
GACGAACGCUGGCGGCGUGCUUAACACAUGCAAGUCGAACGGAAAGGCCCUGCUUUUGUGGGGUGCUCGAGUGGCGAACGGGUGCGUAACACGUGAGUAACCUGCCCUUGACUUUGGGAUAACUUCAGGAAACUGGGGCUAAUACCGGAUAGGAGCUCCUGCUGCAUGGUGGGGGUUGGAAAGUUUCGGCGGUUGGGGAUGGACUCGCGGCUUAUCAGCUUGUUGGUGGGGUAGUGGCUUACCAAGGCUUUGACGGGUAGCCGGCCUGAGCGGGUGACCGGCCACAUUGGGACUGAGAUACGGCCCAGACUCCUACGGGAGGCAGCAGUGGGGAAUAUUGCACAAUGGGCGGAAGCCUGAUGCAGCAACGCCGCGUGCGGGAUGACGGCCUUCGGGUUGUAAACCGCUUUCGCCUGUGACGAAGCGUGAGUGACGGUAAUGGGUAAAGAAGCACCGGCUAACUACGUG